CAAAGGGGAAAAAAGUUUUGCUCUUGGCAUCCUGGCCUGGAGCAUCUGAGAAACUGGGUUCUCCCUGGACACCUGUUCUGUAUUUCCCAUCGGAGUGACUCCAGAGAAGAGCAGCAUGUUAAGACGUUAACUGCCCAAGGAGGAAGAAACAGGUGACUUUACUGUUGGGACAGUCUAAGGAUCAUGUGCUGAACCUUGAUAAACAAAACAAUAUGCUCAUCUUUAUCUCCAUUUGAACGUAACAUGGCUUCUUCAGAUGCCACCCGUUUUUAUCUGCAAAGCGGCACUCUGAAUUAGGCAGAGCAGGCACUCUGAGCAUCCUCACUUACGGAGAAGGAAACCGAGGUCGAAGGUGGAUUCUCUCCAUCUGUGAUUCCAUGGCCCAAUAGUCCGGAAGCAGAACAACUUCAACUCCAGAGCCAAGGCCCUGCAGGAAGCCAGUAAGAACACUAAGGCCCAGGGAGGAUCUCUGGCUUGCCACUGUGUACAUCUUGAGAGGAAGACACUGUCUGCUUAGAUACCUCAUCUGUCAAUCCAACACUUGAUCGUCCACACUGCAUGCUGAUGACCUGGAUGCAGACUGUCUCAUCAAAAAGUCCUUUUCCUCCAUAUUCUGUCCUCAUGGAUUGUCACUUCAGGAUACCCCUGUUCAUGGAUGCCAUCUGAGAUGUAUGUGGCUGAUCACAGCCCUGCAUUUGUAACAAAGAUUCUUCAGCCU